UCUUGCCUCUAGAAUCCAUUUGUUGAAGGAUUCUGUGAAGUUGUUGUCAACCAUCUGAUUCUUGCAUGUUGUAUCAAAAUAAGCCCUACACCAAUUUUGUGGAGGGUACCAAAGGAGGUCUUUAGCAGCUUGUUCAGAAAUAGCCCCUAGGGUCCUCAAAUGAUCCUUGAACUCUUGUUCAUAAGAGCUCCAAGAACACCACCAUAACAACUUUUUCAUUUCUGCACCCCUCCAGUUCUUGCUCCAGUUAGCUUCUAUGUGCCUAACUCACCAUCUAUGAUGUGAUUUAGGAACCAAAGUUGCAACAACAUCAAUCAAACCCU
rnacentral:lncRNA from 1 species